rnacentral:rRNA from 1 species
GACGAACGCUGGCGGCGUGCCUAAUACAUGCAAGUCGAACGCAGGGGGGACGGGUGAGUAACACGUGGGUAACCUCCCAUCAGAGGGGAUAACCCUUGGACACAGGUGCUAAACCGAUACUGGUGGAUGGACCCGCGGUGCAUUAGCCAGUCGGUGAGGUAACGGCUCACCAAGGCCACGAUGCAUAGCACACUGGAGAGGGUGAUCGGCCAAAAUGGGACUGGGACGCAGCCCUGAGUCCUACGGGAGGAAGGAGUAGGGAAUGUUCGGCAAUGGACGAAAGUCUGACCGAGCAACGCGGCGUGAGUGAAGAUGGUUUUCGGAUCGUAAACUUCUUUAGAAAGAGACGCGGUACCUGUAGAAUAAGCCACGGCUAACUACGUGCCAGCAGCCGCGGUAAUUC